AGGUAGGUGAUCCCAGGCGAUGGUUGUCCUGGGGUAAGCGUGUAGGGAGAAGGUUAGGCAAAUCCGACCUUCAUAUAUCCUGAGACGCGAUACCGAAGCCGUAUGGCCUAAGUCACUGAUCCUAUGCUGCCAAGAAAAGCCUAGCAGCGAGUUGGCACGGUGCCCGUACCCCAAACCAACACAGGUGGAUAGGUAGAGAAUACCAAGGCGAUUGGGAGAACUGUGGUUAAGGAACUCGGCAAAAUGCAUGCGUAACCUCGGGAUAAGCAUGACCUCGUUAGGGUGAAGGGACUUGCUCCCGGAGCUCGAAGAGGUGGCACAGAAUUGGGGGAAGCGACUGUUUACUAAAAACACAGCAGCGUGCGAAGCCGAAAGGCGCUGUAUACGCUGUGACGCCUGCCCAAUGCUGGAAGGUCACGGGGAAGGGUUAGCCCUAGGGCGAAGCUCUGAACCUAAGCCCCAGUGAAUGGCGGCCGUAACUAUAACGGUCCUAAGGUAGCGAAAUUCCUUGUCGGGUAAGUUCCGACCUGCACGAAUGGCGUAACGACUUCCCUACUGUCUCAACCACAGACCCAGCGAAAUUGAAGUACGAGUAAAGAUGCUCGUUAGCUGUAGAAGGACGGAAAGACCCCGUGGACCUUUACUAUAGCUUGAUAUUGAGUCUCGUCAUGCGUUGUGUAGGAUAGGUGGGAGGCUAGGAAGCAUGCACGCCAGUGUGUGUGGAGCCACCCUUGAAAUACCACCCUGCGUAUGGCGGGACUCUCACCCUGACCCGUUAUCCGGGCCGGGGACAGUGUCAGGUGGGUAGUUUGACUGGGGCGGUCGCCUCCUAAAGAGUAACGGAGGCGCCCAAAGGUUCCCUCAGACUGGUUGGCAAUCAGUCGUCGAGCGCAAUGGCAUAAGGGAGCUUGACUGCGAGACGUACAGGUCGAGCAGGUGCGAAAGCAGGGCAUAGUGAUCCGGCGGUUGCGUGUGGAAGCGCCGUCGCUCAACGGAUAAAAGGUACCCCGGGGAUAACAGGCUAAUCUUCCCCAAGAGUCCAUAUCGACGGGAAGGUUUGGCACCUCGAUGUCGGCUCAUCGCAUCCUGGGGCUGAAGCAGGUCCCAAGGGUUGGGCUGUUCGCCCAUUAAAGCGGUACGCGAGCUGGGUUUAGAACGUCGUGAGACAGUUCGGUCCCUAUCCUCUACAGCCGGAAGUGACUUGAGAAAAGCUGUCCCUAGUACGAGAGGACCGGGAUGGACGCAGCUCUCGUGUGCCAGUUGUCCUGCCAAGGGCAUGGCUGGUUAGCGACCUGCGGGCGAGAUAACCGCUGAAAGCAUCUAAGCGGGAAGCUCCUUUCAAGAUGAGGUCACUCACAGGGUCAACCUGGUAAGGCCCGUGGUAGACCACCACGUUGAUAGGCCGGAAGUGUAAGCGCGGUAACGCGUUCAGCUGACCGGUACUAAUCGGCCGAGGGCUUGGUC
rnacentral:rRNA from 1 species